GGUCGGGGCUCGGGGGAUGGCGCGGCGGGAAUGGCUAGCUCUCUCGCGGGACCUAGGGCACACGCCUGCGCAGACUACUGGGCGGAGAGGCCCUAGGCUGCUUUGUUGGCGAGAGGGCACAGUGCGGGGCGUAAGGUGGCUAGGUUGAGCUGGGGGGUGGGUACAGCGAGUGUAGUAGGGUUGGGCGUUUCCCGAUCCCCGAUCCAGCCCCUAGAUGUGCCCGCGAUAUUUUCCUUAUAUGAUCAGGCCCCGUUGUGGGCGGCGCUGCUUGCCCGGAGCCUGAGAGGAUUAUGAAAAUACUUCAGGUGACGUGGGGCGGGGAACCGGGUGCUGGAAAAUUAGGGUUGAGGGGCAGCCGAUUAGCCUAGAGAUGGUGUAGGUUUAGGGAGCCUUUGCCGCUGUAACUGUGAGCCCUGGUCGGUGAUGACGUGACCACUGCGCAAUCUGAGUUCUGGGAACCAGAUGAUGGAGCCUGUGCUGAGCACGGACUGAGACAGGGCGAGCAGGAGGUGCGGUGCGGUGUCGGGUAUCGUCCAUGUUUUCUGUGAGUCGUCAGGAAAUCCCUGCCCUAGAAUCCUGCUUUUUAAACGCCUUGGUGGUCUCUCCAAGUGUUUUUAUUUUUUUUAAUCCAACUUUUUUAUUAUGAAAACUUUCAAACAGGAAAGUGGGAAGACAUAUAUAGUUAACCACUCAUGCACUUUCCACAGAUAUUUUACAGUUCUUAACAUUUUGUUGUAUUUUUUUCUUAGGCCCAGAGAGCCUAAAGAACUUGCCAAGGCCUCACAUCUAGAAUAUUACUGAAUAAAAACUUUAAGCCCGUGACUCUCGGAAACCCAAGACCCACAUUCUCUUCAGGGCUUGCAGGAUGUGGAAUACAGUCACAGGGUGACCUUGUGUGAUGCAUUUUGUGAGAUUGUCUAUGUGCAAAAGGAGAACAACAUGGCCUAGCUGGGAGCUCCAGGCCAACUUCAAACAACACUCAGGCCUCACUGAAAGUGUCAGACCAGCUCCAGGAUGUCAGACUUCUUUUUUUUUUCUGAACAUUUAUAGUUCUUACCGGGGACUGAGCCAAGGUUGGAAAAAGUACACCUUCAGACUUCAUUGAGGAACUCCAGCUUGAGACACGCCGGGAUGUGGAUGGAGUCCAUGGUCAGAGAAGAUGGAUUAAAUGGAAACAAAACAGGAAACAUGUGCUUGAAGUCUAACAGCAGUUGCUGAGGGUCGUUCCGCUCUUGCAGUUGUGCCUGUGGGGAAGAAUAAGACCAUGUAAAAAUAAUUAGUACGCCUAAAAAGAGCCAGCUUAAAUGAAUUCACAAUGAUGAACUGGCACAUAUCAUGGCAAGACUCCUCUUAAGAUAACCAGGAAUGACAUCAGGACCAGGAGACAUGACCUCCCUACCCCUGAAGAUACCUUGUGGGGAGAAAAGCCCUGGUUUAGAGUUGUUGUCCAGCAGACGACUAUAAGAUUUCUGCUUUUUCUAGCAGUCUUUUAAAAUGUUUCCAUCUAAAGGUGAAGAGAAAAAUGCAUUUCAGGGCCCUGAUGGCACAGUGAUUAAGAGCUACGGCUGCUGGCCAAAUGACAGCAGUUUGAAUCCACCAGCUGCUCCUUGGAAACCCUAUGGGGCAGUUCUACUCUGUUCUAGAGGGUCACUAUGAGUUGGAAUGGACUUGACAGAAAUGGCAUAUUCCUAAAGGCGAAUAGAAUAAGUUGAUCAUCUCUCUGUUAACUGCAUUUGGUGCUGCAGAUCAGUAACAUGCUAGCAGCAAAUGAAGCGACACAGACUCUCCAAAAUCUGAGAGGUGGAGAUCAGAGAAGUUCGUUCUCUGUGUGGACAUAUUGCGUGGUGGAAGCAGCCGUGCAAAUGAUGCAAAGCAAUGCCAGCUGCAUCCUAGAGGUGCUGGACCAGAAGAAGGUGCAUCAUUUAAUUUGGAAAGCCUGACUUCCUUGUGCUGGUCUCCGUGGCCCAUGUCCAAAUGGGCACAUUCAUGAUGGAGGGUCAGGUCUCCCUGUGUGUGGAAGGGGGGACUUAUCUUUUUAUGGACUAGGAAUAUCUCUGCAGCCAGGUCAUAUUAGAGCUUUUUUGGGGGAAAGGAAAGGAAUAUUUAAAUUCCUCUAGGUUCAAAAACUGGACCAUGAAUAAAGAAGACUGAAAAAGAAUUGAUGCCUUUCAGUUACGGUGCUGGCGAAGAAUAUUGAAUAUACCACUGACUGCCAAAAGAACAAAUGUGUCUUGGAAGAAGUACAGCCAGAAUGCUCCUCAGACAUGAAGAUGGUGAGACUAUUUCUCACGUACUUUGGACGUGUUAUCAACAGGGACCAGUCUCUGGAGGACAUCAUGCUUGAUAAAGCUGAGAGUCAGUGAAAAAGAGGAGGAUUCUCAAUGAGAUGGACUGACACAAUGCUACAACAAUGGGAAGAAACACAGCAACCAAUGGUUGUAGGAACAGGCAGUGUUUCAUUGUGUUAUCCGUAGGGUCGCUAUGAGUCAGAACCAACUUGUUGGCAGUUAACAACAACAACAAAGGCUCUUAGUGACUUUCUUUGAAACAAUGUCAGCUGAAUAUAUGACCAUAAUGACAUUACAGUGGUAAAGAAAGCAAUUUUUUUUAAUGCCAAAUGCCUGAUGCUGCCAAUUUCUGAAAAAGACUUAAAUUUCUAAGUGAAGAACAUUCCAGAGUUCAUUUUAAGUGUUUAAAAAAAGUUUUACCUAAGCUUGGUGUUUUGUGGGUUUACUACCUUAUCAUUCUAAGUGACCAGGAAGGUUCAGAGAGUUACUGGAAAACUGUAACUGUGGCAUCUUGUUUCACAAGAGGUCUUUGAUUCAUUUAGGAACAUCCCAUCAGCUGAAACUUUAGAAUUGCAUCAUUAGGGGUAUUUAAAGGCUGGAAGGGGAUGUUGUAAAAACCAUUGGCAAGAACAGAUGUGAAAUGGAAGCUGGGUACCAAAUGGAAGCUUGCUUUGAGUCCCCUGGCUGGUAGAGGUACUGAAUGACCGCACCUGCUGGGUG